UACGUAGGGUGCAAGCGUUGUCCGGAAUUAUUGGGCGUAAAGAGCUUGUAGGUGGUUUGUCGCGUCUGCUGUGAAAAUCCGAGGCUCAACCUCGGACUUGCAGUGGGUACGGGCAGACUAGAGUGUGGUAGGGGAGACUGGAAUUCCUGGGUGUAGCGGUGGAAUGCGCAGAUAUCAGGAGGAACACCAGCGGCGAAGGCGGCGCUCUGGGCCGGAACUGACGCUGAGGAGCGAAAGCGUGGGUAGCAAACAGG
rnacentral:rRNA from 1 species